CCUACGGGAGGCAGCAGUGGGGAAUAUUGGGCAAUGGGCGCAAGCCUGACCCAGCAACGCAGCGUGAAGGAUGAAGGUUUUCGGAUUGUAAACUUCUGUCGCGAGGGACGAAGAAUGACGGUACCUCGUAAGAAAGCCCCGGCUAACUACGGGCCAGCAGCCGCGGUAAGACGUAGGGGGCAAGCGUUAUCCGGAUUCACUGGGUGUAAAGGGAGCGUAGACGGCCAUGCAAGCCAGGGGGGAAAGCCCGGGGCCCAACCCCGGGACUGCCCUUGGUACUGGAUGGCUGGAGUGCGGGAGGGGCAGGCGGAAUUCCAGGUGUAGCGGUGAAAUGCGUAGAUAUAAGGAGGAACACCGGCGGCGAAGGCGGCCUGCUGGGCCGCGACUGACGUUGAGGCUCGAAAGCGUGGGGAGCGAACAGGAUUAGAUACCCUGGUAGUC
rnacentral:rRNA from 1 species